AUUGAACGCUGGCGGCAGGCUUAACACAUGCAAGUCGAGCGAGCGGCGGACGGGUGAGUAAUGUCUGGGCAACUGCCUGAUGGAGGGGGAUAACUACUGAAAACGGUAGCUAAUCCCGCAUCCCAUCAGCUGUGCCCAGAUGGGAUUAGCUAGUAGGUGGGGUAAAGGCUAACCUAGGCGACGAGCCCUAGCUGGUCUGAGAGGAUGACCAGCCGAACUGGAACGGAGACACGGUCCAGACUCCUACGGGAGGCAGCAGUGGGGAAUAUUGCACAAUGGGCGCAAGCCUGAUGCAGCCAUGCCGCGUGUGUGAAGAAGGCCUUCGGGUUGUAAAGCACUUUCAGCGAGGAGGCGUUACUCGCAGAAGAAGCACCGGCUAACUCCGUGCCAGCAGCCGCGGUAAUUC
rnacentral:rRNA from 1 species